rnacentral:rRNA from 1 species
CCAGACUCCUACGGGAGGCAGCAGUGGGGGAUAUUGCACAAUGGGGGAAACCCUGAUGCAGCGACGCCGCGUGAGUGAAGAAGUAAUUCGUUACGUAAAGCUCUAUCAGCAGGGAAGAAAAUGACGGUACCUGACUAAGAAGCCCCGGCUAACUACGUGCCAGCAGCCGCGGUAAUACGUAGGGGGCAAGCGUUAUCCGGAAUUACUGGGUGUAAAGGGAGCGCAGACGGCAGUGCAAGUCUGGAGUGAAAGCCCGUGGCUUAACUACGGGACUGCUCUGGAAACGGUGCAGCUGGAGUGCAGGGGAGGCAGGCGGAAUUCCUAGUGUAGCGGUGAAAUGCGU